rnacentral:rRNA from 1 species
CGGGGGAGCAAGCGUUGUUCGGAUUUACUGGGCGUAAAGGCGCGUAGGCGGCCAGCACAAGUCAGUUGUGAAAUCUCCGGGCUUAACUCGGAACGGUCAACUGAUACUGUGCGGCUAGAGUGCAGAAGGGGCAACUGGAAUUCUCGGUGUAGCGGUGAGAUGCGUAGAUAUCGAGAGGAACACCUGUGGCGAAGGCGGGUUGCUGGGCUGACACUGACGCUGAUGCGCGAAAGCCAGGGGAGCGAACGGGAUUAGAUACCCCGGUAGUCCUGGCCUUAAACGAUGGAUGCUUGGUGUCUGGAGUUUUAUAGUCUCCGGGUGCCGGCGCUAACGCAUUAAGUAUCCCGCCUGGGGAGUACGGUCGCAAGACUG